GGGAGAUUCAAGAGAGCCACUUGGGAGACAUGAGGAAGAUGUGAAGGGAGAAGCAGGCCAGGACUGAAGGACAGGUUCUGCAUGUAAGGAGCUUGGGUGGUAUGAUUUUCACCAUCACAAGAAAGAAAACAAAACAAACUGAAAAUCAACAACUCUUCUUGGACCCAUCGACUCCCCAGGAAUGGAAAUCAUUUGAAUACUAAGUAUCAUAUUUCCUAGAGCAGGAGCCCAGGAUGAGAAAUCUGCAGCCAGAGCCAACAUCUGGAAGAACUCACUUAAGAAAACAGAAAACCACAGUUACAUGAAGACAGUGACAGAUACUGACUAAAGAGAUGCUGCCGAAGCCAUCGGUUUAGAAAAGAUCCGAGGAGUUGUAUUAGGAGAGCUAAGUGGAAUGGCGGCAGCGGCCUAAACACAUAACACACUGGAAAACGAAGCUGACACAGGACUGGCGCUGCCCGUGAUUCUUCUAAAGGAGCUGAUACCUACUAUUAAUAGGGUAAAUAAAACCAGAUUCAGAGGAUUUCAAGAUGCCCUAUAUCUUAAAAAUGCUUUUGUGAGAUAGAAACAAACUACUCAUGAAAUAUAAAAGAGAAGAGAGAGUAAGGAAAUAGAGUUGGCCUGGUGGGUUGCUGGCAUCAUGGUAUCCUCUCCAGUUCCAGCCACCCAGAAAGCAGUGCCAGGAGGAUGCGCGUCAUGCUCACACCAAAGAUGAACAUACUUUCCUGACUUUAAAUAAGAUUGAAAUUGCAAGGUAAUAUCUAUAGAAAUCUUUCCCCAGUCAAUCCUGGGGAAGACAAUGGUCUUGAUUGAGAAGCUAUUUGAACAAAUUAAGCAAUAGACUCGGAUUUUUGGUUUUCUUUGUCUCUAGCAUUGAAAUAAUUUAGGGAAGAACUUCAGAAAUACUGCUCGGGUCUAGUUAUUUCUUCAGGAGAUUGUCAAAUAACAAUCUAUGUGAUGACAGCAUAGGAUAAAAGCAUAUAGUACUUAAUCCCUUUUCAUAUACGAGUGCUGCAAUGUUUGAUAUAUAAAACCUCAAAGGUAAAUAUUGAGAAUGUUACUGAUAUGUCCAGGAGUGUUACCACUCCUGCCUGUGACAUUUCUGCAAAAGGAAGUACGACAGCCAGCUGUGUUGCUGUAGAGGUAAAAAUUUGAGCCUAGGCUGGGCCGUGUAGUAAAUUCAAAACCAACUGAAGGUUAAGAGAAAAACAGGCAAAGUUAGGGCCAGCGAGACGGGCCAGCAGGUAAAGUGCUUACCACAUGAGCCCAACCUGAGUUCUACUCCCAGAAUCACACAUAGGUGGACGAGAGAACAGACUACACAAAAAUUGUCUUCCUAUCUCAAUAAAUGCUAUGGCAUGAGAGUCUCCCUCCUUGAAAAUCAUCCAUAUAUAUAUGUAUAUGAUAAUGAUAUUUAUGUAUAUGAUAAUGAUAUUUAUGUAUAUGAUAAUAAUAUCUAUGUAUAGGAUAAUAAUGAUCAUAAAACCAAACUAAAGGCAGGCUGGGGAGAUGACUCAGUGAGCAAGCAUGAAGACUGAGUUCAGAUCCUCUGAAGCCACGGAGAAGUUCUGUAAUCCCAUUUCUUCUACGGAGAAGCCCCCAGAAGCUCAAGGGCCAGCUAGCAUGGUAUAAGUAUUGGUGAUGAGAUCCUGUCUCAAAGUAGAAGGUGAGGAUACACACACACACACACGCACACACACUCCUCACACUCACACUCCUCAUUCCCACACGUGCACACUCACACACACACACACACACACACACACACACACACACACACUUGCAUACACACAUACAAAGGCUGGUGUGGGGAUGUGCUUGGCCGUAGAGUACUUUCCUCCUUAGCAUGUAUAAGAUUCUGGCUUUGAUCCUUAGCACUGAAAAAAAGUCUUAUGAACUAUAAAUGGUGAAUAUCUUUAUUAAUUUUGAAGAAUGCUGGUGCAUCAACAUAUAAACAACAAUGUAGUGCCAUAUUGGAUUUGGGCCUGGCUGCUUUGUAACUGCAUGGCCACAGUUAAGAAGUCAUGGGAUUGUUGGACAGAGGCCUCUCCCAUGUAUUUACGGCACAGGAAGAAAAGACCAAGUAGUAAACACCCGAUAUCUCCACUGCAUGACCUCUGCUGAGCCCGGCUGAUGCAUGUGGAACUGACACACCUGGACCACACCUGGGUGGUGGUCAAUUUACUUCUGCCUUUUACUUCCUCAGCCUUUAUCCUUGAGAUUUAGGCUGGUCUUCUGGGAUUUCUCCCUAAUUAAUUCAGGUCUCCUAGUUGGUCUUUUGUUACCAAAGUCACGAGCCAGGUAGUCACGAGCCAGGGUUUCCCACUGUGCUUCCCAGUUAUUUUCUACCUGGAGACUUGGGUAUAUAAGUGGUGAAUAAAGCUACAGGAGACUCUCACUAUUCCUCUCACUCUCACUAUUCCUCUCACUCACUCUUCCUUCCGCUCUUCCUCUCUCUCUCUCUCUCUCUCUCUCUCUCUCUCUCUCUCUCUCUCUCUCUCCCUCCCUCUCUUCCUCUCCUGGCUUGACACGAUAAUCUGUGUGUGUGUAUGUGUGUUUCUUUCAUCCCGUAGGCUUUCACCCGAUUCUCGGUACCAGGUCGGUGCUGGCGCCGACACAACAAUAAUUUGGUUCAUAGUUUGUCAAUGUCUAUUCAUAGAAAAAUAUGAGACAUACUUCAAAUUUUGUCAUAAAGGUAUUUCUAAGAUAGAACACACUUUUAUUAACACAUUUUAUAACACAUAUUAUAACUUCUAGAAGUUUAGACAGAGCAUAUGAGCUUCUGAUUAUAUGUUUUCAUGGCUAUCUUAGUGUUAGGAGUAAGCAUGGCUUACUGCAUUAGUCUAGGGUGAGAGUGGCUUUCUGCUGCGGCUGCUUGACUGCUUGGGUUUUCAAUUAUUUUUUUAUUUUUCACAAAUAAACAAGCAGGAGUUUAUUUCUUGAACAGUGUCCUUCCAAUGAUCUAUUGCGUCAAUACAGGUAGCACACAUCUAUAAGCUUGGCACCCAGGAGGCUGAGGCAGGAGGACUGAAAGUAUGGAAGGUAACAUAGCCUGUGGAGCAAGUUCAAGGUUGUCUAAAUGAUAGCAGCACAAUCGAACUCUUGGUUUGAUGGAUUGAAGUUCUACCCUGGCACUUGUCAGCAAUCCAGACAAGGAGGCUUGUGUUCUGACACCUUGAGUGUAGACCUGAGCUUCCAGAAUGGCAUUAUGACAACUAUUAGGCGUUUUAAGAUACAUAGUUCAUAGUAACAGGAAAAGUGGACUGGUAGCACACUAAAGGCGCCCUUAGCCUUCGUGCAAGUGUUUCUGCCCUUUGCUGGGUCAUAAGCAACGUGCCACUCCCUAUAUCUUAGCGACUACUUCCAACUGUCUCUCAAGUGGAUGCAUCAGUUAAUCCCCUACCAGAAGCACUGGAUAGUAUUUCCUAACGUCCCAGCCGCCAAUGUGCACGGAGGCGUGUCCAUUCUUCCCCAUCUGAUGGUUCAAAUCAGUAUUAAAAAAUCCCAUCCUUCUGAUUACCAAUAAGGUUGAGUUUUUCAUAUGUUAAUUUCCCACUUGAACGGCUUCUGUGAUUUUUCUCUUUAUAAACUCUGCCCAUUUGUCUGUUG
ensembl:lncRNA